AUUGAACGCUGGCGGCAGGCUUAACACAUGCAAGUCGAACGAGUGGCGGACGGGUGAGUAAUGCUUGGGAAUCUAGCUUAUGGAGGGGGAUAACUACGGGAAACUGUAGCUAAUACCGCAUACCAUCAGAUGUGCCCAGAUGGGAUUAGCUAGUAGGUGGGGUAAUGGCUCACCUAGGCGACGAUCCCUAGCUGGUCUGAGAGGAUGACCAGCCACACUGGAACUGAGACACGGUCCAGACUCCUACGGGAGGCAGCAGUGGGGAAUAUUGCACAAUGGGCGCAAGCCUGAUGCAGCCAUGCCGCGUGUGUGAAGAAGGCCUUCGGGUUGUAAAGCACUUUCAGCGAGGAGGCGUUACUCGCAGAAGAAGCACCGGCUAACUCCGUGCCAGCAGCCGCGGUAAUAC
rnacentral:rRNA from 1 species